UUAAAUUGAAGAGUUUGAUCAUGGCUCAGAUUGAACGCUGGCGGCAGGCCUAACACAUGCAAGUCGAACGGUAACAGGAAACAGCUUGCUGUUUCGCUGACGAGUGGCGGACGGGUGAGU
rnacentral:rRNA from 2 species